rnacentral:ncRNA from 2 species
CCACAACCGUUGGGGUGCCCUGAUUGAAGGGCUGAGAGGCGUGGAUGCGCUAACCCAUCGAACCUGAUCCGGGCAAUACCGGCGGAGGGAACGGUCUUAAAACACGC